UGUCUCCCAGCCUGAGGUGCAGUGCUGCAUCUCUGGUCAGUUGGGAGUCUGAGAUGAAGCACUGUAGCUCAGGAAGAGAGAAGU
rfam:Macaca mulatta chromosome 6, whole genome shotgun sequence.